rnacentral:ncRNA from 1 species
AUCACACAAAGGCACACCCGAGCGAAAGCCGGGGUCGCAAAGCUUCCAGUCUAAAGUAGCUCGCGGACCGCGAGCCGCCAAGAUCGUGGGGCCGCUGUC